ACAAAAAAUGGACAUCUUAAAGUGAGAUAUAAUAAUAAUAAUAAAUUUAGAAAAGAGAGCACCAGUGUAAAGUCACAUGCCAGUACUCAACUGGACAUGUUAUUUACCUUAGAUCAAGCUUAGAAGGCACUUUUGGACUAUGCAUAGACUAUUUCUAGCCGUAGCUAAUGGCACUGAAUUCGUCUUGUCUAUACUUUACAUGUAUUGUAAGCUCUCAAGUUGGGGGUCGAGGUUUUCCAUUUUUUUAUAAUUUGAUAUAUCAAACAUAUAUGCAUCUUUCUGUUUGACUACAAUUGUGUCUGCUCUCUUUUCAGUGAUGAGAAAGAUAAUUAGGUGCUGGUGUAGGAACGUGGAACUUUUGCCUUCACAGUUGCAGCCAUGUGUAAUUCAGGGUUAUCAUCUAUUUCUACUUUUCUCAAGUUGUCGUAUAUGUUAGUUGGAUGGGGGAGAUGUGGUACAUACUUUUGUAUGCAACAUCGCUAACGAUUUGCCUACACAAACCUGCCAAGGUUAACUUUGAUCAGGAUGCUACGCUUAUCACGCUUUUGAUAUGCUGGCGGCCAACGUGAAUGCAUCUCACUUAAAAUCGUGCUUGUUACCUUUCCUCCCCGGAUGUUCAUCCUUAGCAACUUGUAAUGUGUAGUGGCAGAAGAAAAACCUACUCUUUUGUAUAUAUCAACUGCCCGUUGUUAAACCUUUUGCUACAUCGCACGGCUGCAAACUGUGCUCUA